rnacentral:rRNA from 1 species
CGAACGCUGGCGGCGUGCUUAACACAUGCAAGUCGAACGCGAAAGGGGACUUCGGUCCUGAGUAAAGUGGCGCACGGGUGAGUAACGCGUAGAUAACCUGUCUUCAUGUCUGGAAUAAUACGCCGAAAGGGGUACUAAUACCGGAUAUUCUCGCUUUUCAUAAGUUAUGCAAGCAAAGGUGGCCUCUGCAUAUGCUACUGCAUGAAGAGGGGUCUGCGUACCAUUAGCUAGUAGGUGGGGUAAUGGCCUACCUAGGCGACGAUGGUUAGCGGGUCUGAGAGGAUGAUCCGCCACACUGGCACUGGAACACGGGCCAGACUCCUACGGGAGGCAGCAGUGAGGAAUAUUGCGCAAUGGGGGAAACCCUGACGCAGCGACGCCGCGUGAGUGAGGAAGGCCUUCGGGUCGUAAAGCUCUGUCAAGAGGAAAGAAGUGUACAAUGGCUAAUACCUGUUGUAUUUGACGGUACCUCUAAAGGAAGCACCGGCUAACUCCGUGCCAGCCGCGGC